rnacentral:lncRNA from 1 species
UUGCGCUUGUGCAUCAGUGCAGAAUAAUGGGGAUAGUUAGCACACCCUUCUUGGAUGUAUCUCACAAAAUGCUAUACAUUAGGUAUGUUACUUGAUUGGGGGUUAUACUGCCGUUCCGUUAGCACAAAAUUUUGAAUCAAAUAUCUUUACUAAUAUGUAAAUAGUAUUAUUUUUACUAAUAAAUGCCAUAAAACAACAAUUACAUUUGAUUCUACGAUAGUUAGCUAGCUAGCAACACUAAAUUUAGUCAACCUUGUUAUGAAUCAGGUACCAAGUUGUGUUUAUUAUUUUACAACUAGCACGUAAAGAACAUAAACCGCUUUUUACUUAGAGAACUAUUGGCUGAUGCACAGAAUUUCUGCAGCAGCGACAUAUAUGAAAAGUGUUGUUUUUAAUGUUUAUCAAGGGGAACUAUAUAUCAUUAUCCAAUGGUGACUUUCAUAUUCUGGUACUCUUUGUUGGUUCUAUCUUGGGAGCAUACACAUUGAGUUGUCUUGGAAGUAUAUAUCCUUUCCAAAAAGCAAAGGUAAAAUUCAAGGACAGAAGAAUAUCAGUACAUUUUUUAAA